rnacentral:tRNA from 1 species
CGAUAGUAGUUUAAUGGUAGAAUGGAGGACUGUGGAUCCUCAGAAGCGGGUUCGAUUCCCGCCUAUCGCCC